rnacentral:rRNA from 1 species
AUACGUAGGGGGCAAGCGUUGUCCGGAAUUAUUGGGCGUAAAGGGUGCGUAGGCGGCAUUUUAAGUCAUUUGUGAAACUCUUCGGCUCAACCGAAGGCUUGCAGGUGAAACUAGGAUGCUUGAGUGCAGGAGAGGAGAACGGAAUUCCUGGUGUAGCGGUGAAAUGCGUAGAUAUCAGGAGGAACACCAGUGGCGAAGGCGGUUCUCUGGACUGUAACUGACGCUGAGGCACGAAAGCUGGGGUAGCGAACAGGAUUAGAUACCCUGGUAGUCCCAGCCGUAAACGAUGGAUACUAGGUGUAGGCAUCGAGGAAGAUGUCUGUGCCGCAGUUAACGCAUUAAGUAUCCCGCCUGGGGAGUACGGUCGCAAGGCUGAA